rnacentral:rRNA from 1 species
GCUUACGGCACACCUCCCUGAGCACCGCCCGAUCUCGUCUGAUCUCGGAAGCUAAGCAGGGUCGGGCCCGGUUAGUACUUGGAUGGGAGACCGCCUGGGAAUACCAGGUGCUGUAAGCC